rnacentral:rRNA from 1 species
GACGAACGCUGGCGGCGUGCUUAACACAUGCAAGUCGAACGGAAAGGCCCUGCUUUUGUGGUGUGCUCGAUUGGCGAACGGGUGAGUAACACGUGAGUAACCUGCCCUUGACUUUGGGAUAACUUCAGGAAACUGGGGCUAAUACCGUAUAGGAGCUCCUGCUGCAUGGUGGGGGUGGGAAAUUUUCGGCGGUUGGGGAUGGACUCGCGGCUUAUCAGCUUGUUGGUGGGGUAGUGGCUUACCAAGGCUUUGACGGGUAGCCGGCUUGAGAGGGUGACCGGCCACAUGGGGACUGCGAUACGGACCAGACUCGUACGGGGGGCAGCAGUGGCGAAUCUUGCACAGUGGGAGGAAGCGUGAUGAAACAACGCCGCGUGUGGGAUGCCGGCCUUCGGGUUGUAAAACGCUUUAGCCUGUGACGCAGCGUGAGUGACGGUAAUGGGUAAAGAAGCACCGGCUAACUACGUG